rnacentral:misc_RNA from 1 species
GCAAACUUGGUCAUUUAGAGGAAGUAAAAGUCGUAACAAGGUUUCCGUAGGUGAACCUGCGGAAGGAUCAUUACAGAGAAAAGGCCCUCGGGCCCCCUCUCAAACCCCUGCGUACCCAAUCUUGUCGCCUUUGCGGGCGGGCUUGCCCCCCGCAGAGUGCCUUUAAAACUUUGUGACUUUUUGUCUGGUUUUCAUUCGCAAAGCGAUGAACAACUUUCAACAAUGGAUCUCUUGGCUCCGGCAUCGAUGAAGAACGCAGC